rnacentral:rRNA from 1 species
GACAGAGGGUGCAAACGUUGUCCGGAAUCACUGGGCGUAAAGGGUGCGUAGGCGGGUCUCUAAGUCAGGGGUGAAAUCCUGGAGCUCAACUCCAGAACUGCCUUUGAUACUGAGGAUCUUGAGUUCGGGAGAGGUGAGUGGAACUGCGAGUGUAGAGGUGAAAUUCGUAGAUAUUCGCAAGAACACCAGUGGCGAAGGCGGCUCACUGGCCCGAUACUGACGCUGAGGCACGAAAGCGUGGGGAGCAAACAGG